GAAAAUUUAUUACAUAAUAAUUAUUUAUGUUUCUUAUUAAUAUUUCUGAGCAAUAGAAAGAUUGAUAUCAAAGAGUUAAAAAGAGGAAGUAUAGAAAAAUGGAAAAUUUGUCCAUCAAUUUGAACCUUGUUAAUUGUAAAAUGAAUUUUAGAUUCGCCAUAGAUGAUAGUCGAAACAUCAUGUAAUUUGUUUCAAGUGGAAUACUUUAUUUCUAUCUUUGAAGUGUUUAAUUCUCGAAUGUCGAAAUUUGUUUAUCCAUGUGGAAAAACGGUGUUCGCAUGUGGAUUGUUGGGAAUGUUCUCAAAACUUGUACAGCUUGAAUUUUCACUGAAACAGUCUUAAACAACGUGAAUGAAUUUAUGCGGCUUGCGCUUUGCAGCAUUUCAGUGUCGGUCGACUCAUAAACUAAAAUGUAACAAGCUAAGUUUUUAACAGGAUAGAAUUGUUUCGCUGUUACGAUUCAUUUAUUACUACAAGAUUGAUGUAGAUAUCUUCAUCAUUUCCGUUACAAUGUUCUAAUACGGUGGCGAUCUCCGAAAACUUGUUACUUUCUUCAUCUGUUAGUGAAGUAUUUUGAUACUGUUGUGAGAGGUGUCAUGAUAAGAUGAUUAGUGGCAAUGAGUAAAAUAAUCAAAGGAAUCUUCAAUUGAUGCAGUUCAAACAUAUUUAUAUGUGUUUAUAUUUGAAGGUGCAAAAAUACACAGAUUGCAACCGUGAUAAAAAAUACAGAGAUGACAAAAAGGGGCAAGAAGGAACUAGAAAAUAGGAAAAAAUAGAUUUUUAAUUCAAUUAUAAACUUAUAUAAGUUUUAAAAAAGAACGAAAGAUAAAAGGAUUUCUUGAAAGAAUAAUGAUAAAUAUAGAACAAAAGGAAAUGUCGAACAGUAUCAACUUGAAGGAUCCAG